GAUGAACGCUGGCGGCGUGCCUAAUACAUGCAAGUCGAGCGAACAGACGAGGAGCUUGCUCCCCUGACGUUAGCGGCGGACGGGUGAGUAACACGUGGAUAACCUACCUAUAAGACUGGGAUAACUUCGGGAAACCGGAGCUAAUACCGGAUAACAUGUUGAACCGCAUGGUUCAACAGUGAAAGACGGUCUUGCUGUCACUUAUAGAUGGAUCCGCGCCGCAUUAGCUAGUUGGUAAGGUAACGGCUUACCAAGGCAACGAUGCGUAGCCGACCUGAGAGGGUGAUCGGCCACACUGGAACUGCGACACGGUCCAGACUCCUACGGGAGGCAGCAGUAGGGAAUCUUCCGCAAUGGGCGAAAGCCUGACGGAGCAACGCCGCGUGAGUGGAGAAGGUCUUCGGAUCGUAAAACUCUGUUAUUAGGGAAGAACAAAUGUGUAAGUAACUAUGCACGUCUUGACGGUACCUAAUCAGAAAGCCACGGCUAACUACGUG
rnacentral:rRNA from 1 species